rnacentral:miRNA from 1 species
UAAAAGUCUUCAUUAUAAACGCU